rnacentral:rRNA from 1 species
UCUGCCACUCUGAAUGCACCAAUCGUCUUUGGUUUUGGAAUCUAAGCAAGGUUAGGCCUGGUUAAAACCUGGAUGGGAGACCCUAGGGGAUCUCAGUGAUCUCAGGC